rnacentral:rRNA from 1 species
UACGAAGGGGGCAAGCGUUGUCCGGAAUCACUGGGCGUAAAGCGCGCGCAGGCGGCGAUCUACGUCCGGGGUGAAAGCCCAGAGCUCAACUCUGGGACUGCCUUGGAUACGGGAUCGCUUGAGGAUCGGAGAGGCAAGGGGAAUUCCACGUGUAGCGGUGAAAUGCGUAGAGAUGUGGAGGAACACCUGUGGCGAAGGCGCCUUGCUGGCCGAUUUCUGACGCUGAGGCGCGAAAGCGUGGGGAGCAAACAGG